GGAAGACAAGGACUGGAGGCCUGCCAUCACCAUCAAACAGAUUCUUUUGGGAAUCCAAGAACUGCUGAAUGAGCCAAAUAUUCAAGACCCGGCUCAAGCAGAGGCAUACACGAUUUACUGUCAAAACAGGAUGGACUAUGAGAAGCGCGUCCGGGCACAGGCCAAGAAGUUUGCACCC